GAGGAAUAUUGGUCAAUGGGUGCAAGCCUGAACCAGCCAUCCCGCGUGAAGGACGACUGCCCUAUGGGUUGUAAACCUCUUUUGUAUAGGGAUAAACCUACCCUCGUGAGGGUAGCUGAAGGUACUAUACGAAUAAGCACCGGCUAACUCCGUGCCAGCAGCCGCGGUAAUACGGAGGGUGCAAGCGUUAUCCGGAUUUAUUGGGUUUAAAGGGUCCGUAGGCGGACUUAUAAGUCAGUGGUGAAAGCCUGUCGCUUAACGGUAGAACUGCCAUUGNUACUGUAAGUCUUGAGUAUAUUUGAGGUAGCUGGAAUAAGUAGUGUAGCGGUGAAAUGCAUAAAUAUUACUUAGAACACCAAUUGCGAAGGCAGGUUACCAAGAUAUAACUGACGCUGAGGGACGAAAGCGUGGGGAGCGAACA
rnacentral:rRNA from 1 species